CUUUGAGCCCCUGAAGGGUGGUGACCUGGUUCUCUUACACUGACCUCCUGACAGCUGCCCAGCUGCACUGAGAAAGCACAGGGCCCCAGAGGGGGCUUGCUUCCAAAAUACCUUGGGUGUUUUCUGUACCCUCCCACCUACCUGUCCCCCAACACACACACACACACACACACACACUUAGCAGGCGGAGGCGGGGGCCUGAGGGAUUAGAGGGAUAGAGUGACUGUCAAUAAGAAGAGAUUAGAAUCCGGGCAGGACGUGUCCACACUGGGGUCUUCAGAUAGUACACUCAACAUCUGCGGCUCCUCCUCGGUCCGGCCCUCAGGUUUUGUAACACUCAAGAAGUACAUGAAAGAGGCCUCUUUCAUCAAGUAUUCUUAAGUUAUGAAAAUGGAAUUGAAGCAUAUUUUCCCCCUUCGUAUGAGAGAGAACUUACGUGAAAUCAAGUAUUCGCGAUUUUUCAGAACUGCAUAUGGAGAAGUUGCUGAAAUUCAAUCUUGCUUCCAGAUAAAGUCAGCACAGCAUUACCCAGUUAUUAUGUAGCAUUUCCAUGCAAACUAAUAAAUAGUAUUUCAACUUAAAAUUUCGGUUUUUAAUCUAGAUGUAACUUAAAAACUCUUACAAGUAAAAACUCUUAGAAGUAAGCAUUCUUGUCCAUCAGAAGUUUGUACAGAAAAAGCAAAUUCAAAGGGACAAAUAUGGGCAGUGCCUUCCAGCACUGACAGGGGGAAAAGAUCCUGGCUCAAGAACACAGGUCUCUAGGCAAUGAAGCAAGUGUAUCCCUCAAGAGAGAAGAAUGCAUUAAGUUGUCAUGGCUUUGAAACAUCAGCCAUUUACACCUCCCAACUUAUUCCCCUGGUUCUGAACCCAGAUUCACUUGGUAACCAUUCCAUUGCUUAUAAUUCUUCUUUGCAUAUACUUGUAUCUGUAUCUACAUCUAUACCUACAGGGACAAAAUACAGCAGUCAAUAUAACUCAUUAGCUUGAUGGAUGUAUUUCUUAUUGUAAACUAAUAUAUUGGCAUUCUGAGAUAAAAAAGCUUUUUUAUUCAUGUGAAUAUUGUCAGUGAGAUCAUUUUAAAGUCACAUAACUCUCAGCCACACAUACGGAGGUAGAAGUUCCGUUUCUGGAACAUGAGACUAGAAAUUGUCAUUUGUCAUCCCUUUUUGCUUAUAAAAUACAGCCACUCCCAUACCUGCUACCACAAUGCCUUCCCCACCCCAUGGGAAAGGGAAGUAACACUUGUAAGAAAUGACAAGAGGUCUAACGUUG
rnacentral:lncRNA from 1 species